rnacentral:lncRNA from 1 species
UAAACCUACUUCCAGUUUAAAACCAUUACCCCUUGUCCUGUCACACGCCCUUGUAAAAAGUCUCUUUCCAGAUUUCUUGUAUAUGCCAAAAGUCAGUUAGCAAGAGAAGAGAGAGAAUAUCUAUUUAUUCUUUUUUUAUUUUUAUUUAGUCUAAAUUUAAAGUAAAACUCCAGAGAGAUUCCAGAGGCCUACUUUAGCGAGGACUAGCUAAAGCAGUUUAUUUUUAUUUAGAACAGUCUAAGCCACCUGGUUUGUAGACAGUGAAUUCAUGUCUUUCGCUGAAUGCUUGUUAAAACAAAGAAUAAGGGAAACGGGCACCAUCUGCAGAGAACAGGGUAGGAGCAAAGGAGACAUCAGCGUUGUGCAGGGGGAUGAUGAACUGUGGUGUCUUGCUUUUCCUGCAGAUUGAAGAUAGGCAGGCCAAGAUGAGCAGGAGGAAUGUGCCUCAGAGGUAAAGAUGAGGAAUACACUCUUGAAGAGAAGGUGACUGCACCUGAAGGCAUUGCUCAGAAGAGGAAGGUGUAUGCUAAUGAGCGAUCCUCCUCCUGGUCCUGUAGUUCCACUCCUUCCAAUGUGCCACCACAGGCAUUUGUGUUGUCUCAACUCACCCACUCUUGAGAAAGCUGUCUGUGUUUUCACUGGAUGAUUUAUGAAGGGAUCUGGUAAGGACCAGAACUAGUGUAAGGUAAGUGGGAGAAACAUGCAACGACAUGUAGGAAAAAAACCUCUUAAACAAAACCUUUCAUCUUGAACAAACUCGUAUUUUUAAUAGGGAGUAUUUUAUUUUCAUUUUUACUAGAAGAUAUUUUCCUUUGUAUGAUAUCAAUGCUGGAUGCUUAACGUGAAAUAUUGGAUGUUGAUGUGUUCGGUACUUGCUGAUCUUUAGAGAAAUUAAACUGAAGCUUGAAUUACUGAGCAAUCAGGGGUGUUUCUUGUUUCUUAAAUGAAGUAGGCACUGCUUCAGAAACUAAAAUGAGCCCAUUUCAAAACUUAUGUAUAACUCCACCGGUUUCUAGACUGAAAUAUUUUUCCAGGUGCUUUGAAAUCUGUUUGCUCUCUUUAAAGUGUGAGUUCCUGGAGGCUCCCAGGAUGUAGGCAGCAAGAUGCCUGCUUCUGAUGGCCCCUACCACUUCAGUGUUUCAGUAGUCUAGGUGCUGUGGAAAAGAGCAGAAGUGAAAGAAGGAAUUGUUAUCCCAAAACACUUAAUGAAUCAUCUGUCCCAUCAGCUGUAUUUCAAAUAUCAGUUCAGUUGACUGGUUAAAAAGCUUCAUUGGAUGUUCAAAUAUAGGAGGAGAUCAGGUAUUCCAUGAGGAGCUCAGGUUUUUUGGAAGAAAAAGCACAGCUGUGACUAUUUUUUUCCAGAGGGUAAAUCAAGAGUGGCUUAAUUGAGUGAAUUGCUGUGCUCCAUAUUUGCUCUGUCUAGCUGCCCUCCUGCUUCUCUGUGGAAGUCCAUUCACACUGCAUCGUGUGCCUCCAGAUUGAAAUUGCCAUUACCAAAUGAGGAACUCCUGCUUCCUGCCUUGCUUUUGCAUGCCUGUUCUGGUCCUCACUGCAGGGAUCUUGCUUACUUCACUACCCCUAGGAAAGUGGUAUUUUUUUGGCCAUACCAUUGUGUUAA